UAACUGAAGAGUUUGAUCAUGGCUCAGAUUGAACGCUGGCGGCAGGCUUAACACAUGCAAGUCGAGCGGAGAGAGGUAGCUUGCUACUGAUCUUAGCGG
rnacentral:rRNA from 1 species